rnacentral:misc_RNA from 1 species
AACGCACAUUGCGCCCUCUGGUAUUCCGGGGGGCAUGCCUGUUCGAGCGUCAUUUCAACCUUCAAGCCCGGCUUGUGUGAUGGGUGACCGUCCCUCCUCUCGGCGGGACGCGCCCGAAAUGCAGUGGCUAGACCGCGAUUCCGGCGUCUGAGCGAAUGGGAUAACCACCGCUUCUAGAACCGGCCGGCCCUGGCCCCAAAAACAUCGAUCCUCGCGGAUCACCCAGGUUGACCUCGGAUCAGGUAGGGAUACCCGCUGAACUUAA